rnacentral:rRNA from 1 species
AGUGAACGCUGGCGGUAGGCCUAACACAUGCAAGUCGAACGGCAGCACAGUAAGAGCUUGCUCUUACGGGUGGCGAGUGGCGGACGGGUGAGGAAUACAUCGGAAUCUACUUUUUCGUGGGGGAUAACGUAGGGAAACUUACGCUAAUACCGCAUACGACCUACGGGUGAAAGCAGGGGAUCUUCGGACCUUGCGCGAUUGAAUGAGCCGAUGUCGGAUUAGCUAGUUGGCGGGGUAAAGGCCCACCAAGGCGACGAUCCGUAGCUGGUCUGAGAGGAUGAGCAGCCACACUGGAACUGAGACACGGUCCAGACUCCUACGGGAGGAAGCAGUGGGGAAUAUUGGACAAUGGGCGAAAGCCUGAUCCAGCAAUACCGCGUGGGUGAAGAAGGACUUCGGGUUGUAAAGCCCUUUUGUUGGGAAAGAAAAGAAGCAGGUUAAUACCCCGCUGUUCUGACGGUACCGAAAGAAUAAGCACCGGCUAACUUCGUG